GGGUCAAGGAGGGGGUACCCGUGGGACUCUGAACACCGUGUAUACACACACACACACACACACACACACACAGACACACACAAACACGCACACGCGCACACACGCGCACGCGCACACGCACGCGCACACACACGCACACACACGCGCACACACACACACAGCACACACACAGCACACACACAGCACACACACACACACACUCACAGACAGACACACACACCCGUAAGGACAGCAUUUAAGCUCAGCGUUGAAGCCUCUGGACUGGUGAUGGAGAGUUUUGGCGGUCUGAACCUCAUCGGGCUCUUAGCCUACCACCCCCCCCCUGGUCACUGGGCCCCCCCCCCCCCCCCGCCCUGUUCUACCAGCUGCUGUUUGGGAACUGGAGUGAGGGGCUGCCCUCCUCACCUGCAUCCCAAAACCUCUCCCCACACACACACACACACACACACACACUCUUACACCUGGUCGGAAAGAGCAAUACGGUGUUCCACGUCGGAAUCAUGUAGCAACCCACCCCCCCCCCCCCCACACACACACACACACACACACACGCGCGUUCGGAGUUGUCUCCGAUCGGCUGAUCACAUGACCACGGACUUCAUUACUGCCACGAGCUCCAAGCUUCUCUCUUUCUCUCUCUCUCUUUCUCUCUCUCUCUCUACCCAAAGGAUCUGUGUGUGUGUGUCCUGUAACUACGACUCAAAACUACCUCUGCCCCCCCAUCCCCAAAAACAGCCCUGUUCUUUAAGAGGGGUGGGCAGCCCUGGUCCUGGUGUGACGGGGCCAUUUCUGGUUGCUGUUCCAUCUUACCUGCACUCCAGGAGGGCUGCAGUGUCUGCAGGUUUAACUCCAGUCCUGGAGGGCCGCAGUGUCUGCAGGUUUAACUCCAGUCCUGGGGUGCCGCAGUGUCUGCAGGUUUAACUCCAGUCCUGGAGGGCCGCAUUGUCUGCAGGUUUAACUCCAGUCCUGGAGGGCCGCAGUGUCUGCAGGUUUAACUCCAGUCCUGGAUGACUGCAGUGUCUGCAGGUUUAACUGGCUAAAGACUCCACACACCUUGUUCUCGAGGCCUUAAUUGAUGGCUGAUUGAAAGGAAACCGGAAAAACCUGCAGGUUCUGCGGCCCCCUGGGAAUUCAGUUUGGCACCCCAGGACUGUCCCUGGUGGAGCAGGGCUGCCCAUCUCGGCUGUGUCACAGGGCGAUGGCGCCCCCUAGUGGAGAAGCAUUACCCUUUCCCAUUUUUGUUUUUUCCUCCUGGUUUAUUUUGGUGUUAAUGUGGGGUGGAGUUUCUCCAUCUGAUCUGAAUAAGCUUUGCCCCCCCCCCCCCCCUUAAUUAAAAGGUAGCAUUUCGUUUCCUCGAUUUUUUAUAAAGAUGCAGAUUCUCGUUCUGGCCACUGACAACUUCUGGUAACUGAAAUAUUAGCAGAAAGCAUUUUUUUCGUUUUCCUUUUCUUGUCUUUCUUUUGGGAAAUUUUUCCAUUUUCUGUGUUUCAGUUUUUGAUCAUUUAGCAUUUUUUUUCUGGCAGCUAAUUUCAACCGCUCUCCCGAGCCAGGUUUUUUUUUUUUUUACCAUGGUGCGGAACUGCCUCGAGCCAGGAGAUCCGCUCUGAGAGUCGCACGUUUCUGACGUCAGACGUGUGUUCAGGCUCGUUCUGUUCCCGCGUACGGUUCAUUAUAUCAGCCAGCAUGAGCAUAGUUUUUUCAGAUAUAUAUAUAUAUAUACAUAUUUUAAUAUUUAUAGCCAAAUAUGGAGUUUCUUUAAAGUGGUUGUUUGCCAAGGAAACUACCCCCCCCCCCCCACACCCCCUCUCCGUGUUGUUUUUCCUUUCUUAUAAAUCCUCCCCCGCGAACUGUGCGUAUCGCCAUGGUACCAGUGUGAAGAGUGAGCUAAAUGUGAAUGCGUAGCGCAUCAGGCCCGGUGUAAAAUGUCAGUGGUGCUUUCGUCGUGUGUGCAUCUCUAUCCUCCAGACCCUGGUGCUGACUAGCCUAAUUUGAACGAAAAAUAUAAUAUAUAUAUUCUCAUAAAUCAGACAGUGCUACCGGUCGUGUGGUAGACUGUGCAAUCGUCAUUUUCAGGAAUAAAAAGCUGUGCCCUUCUUGCCGCGGGAUAAACGAUGUACCGUGGGAAACGCCUGUUCGUUUUGACAUUUUGUUUAGCGUCUCAUGGAUAAAGGAGGCUAGUGUGUUUUGGUGAUUUAGGUGAUUUCUUUGAUACCCCCCCCCCACACCUACAGAGAGAGACUCUCGCACUCUGAAAUAACCACUCCCCCCCCCCCCCCCCCCCCCCGUCACGCUCGGCCUUUUCAGCUCAGUGAAAACCGCAACCAAGACUGACAAAACUGCGCCUGAGUGAGAAUAUUUAUCAGUUAUACGUAAUCUUGUUCUGUUUUUAAUUCUGCCCUCUUUUUGCAUUUCUUUAAAUGUCACGUGGUCUCGUUAUUUAUUUGCUUCUCCCCAUCGCCCCCAUCAGUUCCACUUUCACAUCGUAACCUUCUUUUGCUGUGAUUUCGCUCGUUUUUAUCUUCGAUGAAGAAGAUUUUUGUUUUGUCCUCAUCUUUGUUGAUUGUUUUAUUGAAAAACAAAUUUGGUUGCCACAGACCAGUGGUUAAUUAAGCUACACUAAUGGUAAAAAGAGACUUUUUUUGCAUAGGUCUAUUUUUUUAAGUAAAUUCUGCACAUUUAGAAUGAUUUAUAGGAGUAAAUUCUGUGUUGAAAAUAAAAUAAAAAUAUGAAAUGAAAAUACCGGAUUCAUACAAAGUUGCGCUAAGUGUUGUCUAUGUGUAAGGAGCACAGCAGCUGUGGUUGUCUAGUGCAGCAAAGCAUUGAGCGGCCAUCUUAUUAAAAAGAAACACGAAUACCCAGCGCUGUGGCUGUCGUUUCGCCCACCGUGUGUAAAAACGUUCGCUUUCUCUAACAGCAAUGUGAAUCUCCAGAGUUCAGUGUUAAGCAGUAUUGUAGUUUAAAAAAAAAAACGUGAAACGCAGGUCUCUUGUGUGUCCAGUUGUCUGUCAGGCGCCGCUGUAGUCUGCAGAGCAGGCCGCGUUUCUCUGCGUCGAUUUUGUCGUCCUGUCUUUCGCGUAAAUCGGUAUAGAUUCAUGACGCAAAUUCUCCGGCCACGGCCAGGCUCGCGCCGCAAUCCGCCAUCUUAUUUAUGUGGGUUCAUGACGUCAUCGUCAACGUAGAAGUGUGAUCUGUCCCCCAUAAUUGAAGGCAGUCCAGUCUGUUUUUAAAAAAGAAAUGUACAUUUUUUUUUUUUUUUUUGUCUCGUUUCAAUGUCUAAAACACCCCCCCCCCCCCAUCGCCAUCCGGCUGUUGAGCGGAUGAAGCGCAUUUUACAGCAUGACUAUUGUGUGUCGUUUAGCUCGGUGUUGAGAGGUGAUCUGCGCAUGCUUUUGACUGGCGAGGUGUGCCACGAACGCUUGAAAAAAAAAAAAUCACCAAGUUGAAACCGGAGAACGGGACGGUAUUGGUGUUCAAAGUGCUUUUAGUUAACGGUCUAAAAAUACACUGCAAAAAAAUCAGAUUUUCUCAUUAUCGGAAAAAGACCAGCUGCAGUGCCUGCUUCUUAGUUGGUUCAAUUUCUUUGUUUUUCUUAAAUUAUUUUCUAGAAAUUCAAAAGUCCUAUUGCUUUAAGAAGAACAAAAGCUGCAUGUCUUGUUUUUUGGUUUUUAUUUGGGGAAGAAAAAGUAAUUCAUUUCGUACGUCGGUGUUUGCGCGGAUGCCUCUGUGGUGAGAAGGUGUGGUAGUUUUGCAGUGUAUCAGUAUUUGAUAUGCCUAAUGUUUUUGUUUAAACUGGAAAACGGAUCAUGGUGUUGGAUGAGAUUUGAGGGGGGAAAAAAAAAAAGGUUGUUGGAAAGCAGGAGUGGAGAUUUUUGAGGUGGGGAAGCUGCUUGUCUGAACAAGCGUCGGAGAAGAGCCUGGGUAAUUGUAUAGAGAUGAAACAAAUUUGUAUAAAAGACGUAUUUUUGUACUUCAUCAGAUCUCUACAUGCAUGACAGCAAUAAAACUUUCAUAUGGAAACAA